ensembl:lncRNA
UGUGUGUGUGUGUGUGUGUGUGUGUGUCCUUGGGCGCACUGGGACCCCCUGCUGUAGUCAUGGUGUAUUCAUGGGCUUGUGUUGUUCCUGUGCAGCAUGACCUCAUCCAUCCUGUGUCCAGUGUAAAUGGAACUGUUCAUAAACCGCUGGACCGUAACCCAACUCUUUAAUAAGCAUCUGUGUCCAGUGGACAAUGUCCCAAUCAUAAACCAUUGGACUGAAACUACUGUUUUUAACACGUAUCUGGGUCCAGUGGAAACGUUCCCACUCUGGACUGGAUCGCCAGAGUUUUUAACAGCAUCACACAGCCAUUUUCACACAGCACUCGGUGCCUUAAGCGACUCCAACUCCAGGAUGGAUCAUCACUAUCUCUCCACCUGACAGACUGAGGGCUGGGAAACUCCUCAUGCGCUGUCUGGCCAGUGACCACGUCUCGCUGGCGGUUUCUGGCCAGUGACCACGUCUCGCUCAUGCGCUGUCUGGCCAGUGACCACGUCUCGCUGGCGCUGUCUGGCCAUGUGUGUGUGUGUGUGGGUCGGAGUGAGUGAGUCACUGGGGAUGAACACGGAUGCCUCUGGAUCAGGGCCGGUGCGGAACCAGUACUGAUCUGGCACUGAUUUGAUACAGAACCAGUACUGAUCUGGCACUGAUUUGAUACAGAACCAGUACUGAUCAGGCACUGACCUGGUUGGGUGUGGGUCCGUCCCUGAUUUGCCACAGAUCCAGAGAUCCACAGAUUGGUACGGACCCAGCCCUGUUCUGGCCCGAGUCUGCUGUCAUCUGGGCCUCGUCUGUGCUGUGGAGAUCACCAGCAGUGGGCUCUGUGUGUCCAAAACCUCAGCUGACUGUGGGCCGGAUCAGGACCAGAACCAGGACCCGGGUGGGUCGUCUCCAGUCAGCUGCUCUCUCCAACCCAACGAAGCUUCCAGUUCUCCCAUCCAUCUCCCCUGUACAGAACCCCCUACUAUGGGAAAGCUGACUUUUAAAGACAUGUGAAUAGUUUGUUGACAAUAAGUGUUACAUGCACGACAUGGACGCAACACUGAACCAUAGUUUUGAAGAGGGACAGUGAGGAAACUGUUGUGUACAACACGAGGACAUAUUGUACUUAUUUAACAGUUUUGAAUACUUG